AAACAGCUUUCAUAGUCUUGUGUUUCUGAUGAAGACUUUAAAUCAGUCAGCAGUACUUGAUCUUUCAAGACAUGAGUAAAUUACUUGCAAAUAGUUCUAAAAGGAAAAUUUGACCUCCAGUACAGGCAGUCUUCUCUUAAAAUUUCCCAUUUAUUUAAUUUUUUCCUUUGAAUAUUACAUAUGUGAGUGUACAAAUAUCUGUAUACAUGUCCAGUUGACCAUCUUAUAU
rnacentral:lncRNA from 1 species